GGACUCAGAGGUCAAGGGCAGUGUGAAAGGGGUGGCCUCAUGAGGAGACCAGCCUGACAGAACGGAGGGUCUACGUGGAGGUGGUGGAAAGUGUCUACAGAACAAAGAGACUUGAAAAGAUGAAAAGCAGAAGAAUAUGGCUACAGAGCCUGACAGGUCUACCUGGCUACCAAGCAGAACGGGUCAGCAUGGCCGCUUUGAUUCCUGGAGACACUACACAUUUCAGGAUUCUCUAAAUGCUGUGCGAGGCAGGAAAAGAAAAGUACAAGGUCUUCCACUUGGAAAAAAGUUCCUGACAUGUGACUUGUGGAAUUGGAAGCUGCAUUUUAGUAAGACGGCCUUCGGUCAUUCAAUACUGCACGUUCAAGCUUGCAAGUGGCUGGUUGGGAUUUCUGGUUGCCAUGUGGAUUGCUGCAGAGGCCCGAAACAAGUCCUUCCUCCUCGGAGGGUGGCCACAGAACACACACCCCUGCUGUUCCCCGCAGGUGAGUAUGAAGUUACUUUCCCGUCUCUGUCACGUUCCUUUCCAGCGAUACGAGAUCAGUAUAUUAGAGUAGUCCAAGGAAACUUCUCUUAACUCCAUUUUUAAUGUCACAGGCAGUAUUUGAGGAUUAUUUUCUCCUGCCAUUCUAAAACAUCUGCCUUUUCUCUUAAGUUUAAUAUGUAAAUAAUUUUCUAGCCAGUUGAGGGGAGCAACUGAAGUGCAUGGGUACAAACAGAAUCUGGGAGAAAUGUGGACAUUUCAUUGGAGGUUAAUGGAAGGCUCUAGUUAGCCAAGAUUGGUGACUGGGGCAGAAAGAGUUCUUGUCUUGCGCUGCGUGGUGAAAACAGAAUGUUCCCUGCAGAGGUGCUGUGUUCACGCACUCUGGUGUGGAUGGUCUUUCUGGUCCUGGAGGCAGCGGCAGUUCUUCUGUUAGGAACACUUUGUCCUGGGCAUGGUUUCUGACUGCUUAUGUACAAAUGCAAUAUGGGCCCCAAAUGUUGGCACAGAGAAGACUUCAUGGCUUGCUGUCACUAGGUGAGCCUCUAGUAUGAAAUCUCUAAGACCAGCUGGUGUUUCCCUGUGGGUGAUGAAGUGACUGGGUCCAUAUGCCUUUAACUUUAUGCAGAAAAAAAUCCCAGUAAACGCAUGAGUUAGCACCCACUGAGAUGACUUCAAUCAUAUAUUUUUCUUUUUAAUUAAUAUUUCAUGACCAGUUAACCAGCAGUCUGUUAUUCCUCUAAUAAAGAAAAAGGUAUUACAACCAAUAAAAUAUAUUUAUGGCCUCAUUUUAAAGGCUUAAUUAAGGACCCAUCCCUCCCUUGUGAAAGUCUUUUUGAAAACACCAUCAGAAAUACACAAUAUAAAUGGGGAAAGAAGCCCUUGUUUGUUUAAAGAAGAAACAUAUUCUCUAACAAAGGAUAUAAAAACAUGGGUCUGCAAAUAAAAAAUGUGGGUUUACUUAGUAUAGAUUUUGUAUUUUGUGUCUAGCUUGUGUAUGUACAGACAUUCUCAAUUUUGAGGGAUGCUGAAAUUUUUGCUUUUGUAAACUCAGUAUGUGAUAUAUAAUGCAACUCCAACAUAAGAAAAUAACUCGUUUUCAUUCACACUAUGAGAAAAGGGAUGUAGUGCUUAUAGGACCAUUUUACAUGAGCACAAUAUACAUUUCUAAAGUUAUGGCUAUCAGUCAUUCCAGAAGCUUACAUUGUGGGUUCCAGGAGUUGGAAUUUGUUAAACGGAUCUAUACCAUUGAAGAUUCUCUGCAAGACAGCUAGAGAAAGAGCUCAAUGAAUUCAUUUGGAGGUGGCUAAAUAUCCAUCAGCCAGAGUAAGUGAAGAAAUUGUAGAGCAAAGAGUGUGUGUGGAGCUCUUCCUUCGUGUGGUGAGACUCGGUUUUACUUGUCAGAGGAGAUGCAGAAGAUCCCAAGUCGUCUGCCUACUGCUGCCAUCACUCGGGCUGGUCAUUGCAUUAGGAAUUUGUCCUAGCUUUUCCUACUUCGAUGAAUUACUUUGAAAUGCUUUAUUAUGCUUCACAAUAUGAUUCAAAUAUAAAAAUAAAUUCAUACCAUUUUAAAAGUAAAAUAGAAACUUAGAAAGAUUCCACUUUAUUUAAUUUUUCACUUGAGAGAAGGAAGGUAUAAAGAGUUUAAAUAAUUUGCCUGAGGCAACACAGCUAGCUGGUGGCUAAACUGGGACUAGAAUUCACCUCAUUCUGCCUCGUGAUUUUAGCACUGAAAGAAGCUCAAUUCCCGUUUGUGCAGCUCAUUUGAUCAAUGGACAUUAAAAGUUCUGUAUGAAGUGCUAGUUAAUUUACUGAUUGCCAGGACUUAGUCAACUGGGGUAAAUCCAAAAUGUGUUAGAUACACCCCAGUAAACAAAAAGGGCACCUUUUUCAGUAAACUGAAGUUAAAGACAUAUUUACUUUUAGGCAGAAAGACUAUUUGUGAGGCAUUAUGACAAUUACUGAAUCUAAAUCAGUAUAAAUGGAGAAUUCCGUUAAAGUAUUUUAAAAAUGGGGUUGAUUCUGGUCAUUUUGCCAAUAAAGUCAUUGAAUAAAUGUUGGAACAAGCUAGAGAAAUCUGUACAUUGUUUAGAAUUUGACCUAGAUUGCAUAUGGGUUUUAAAGAAUGCCAUCAUAUUUGUUUUUGUGAGUAAUUAUCUAUAAAUCUAUAACAAUACACUUUGCAAAUAUGAAAUAUUAAAUGCUGGUAAUCCUUAAGUAUUCUGAAAGGUAAAAUUAUUUCCCAGUUGUUUCUGCUUUCCUGUAAAGAGUAAUCAAUGGGCUUAUUUUUAUUAGCAUUUAUGUUAGUUGAUGUGUUUACAUCUUGUCGGCUCAAGCCUUAAAGAAAAAGCAAAGCAAAAUAAAUUCUACUGAUAGUAAUAAAAAGAUUAAAGUUGAGAAAGAACUACUUGUACAUUCGUGUCGUUAUGUGGCUAAGUUGGUUUUGGUGCGUUUUCUGUGUAAAAAACAACAACCAAUAAACUAAAGCCAAACCUCCCAGUGGCGUUUUCUUUUUCUGUGGUUGAAUGGUGGAAAGAAGGCAGUAGUGUGCCACCUGGUGGUUCCACACGGAUUGACAUAAUAGAGUUCCCCCAAUCCUGUAUUAACGGAAUUUAAAACAUAACCAACAUUUCCUUAAUUACAAUUCUUUCCUCCUCAGAAGUGUUUAUUUUUCUUAUUCUAAAGCAUUCUCGUCAGCUACUGUUAUUCCGUUUGGAGAUCAGAAAUAUGUUAAAAUUAAAACAAUCACCUCUAAUGUGCUUCUCAGAUCAUGUUUAUCCACAGACAUUUGCCAUUUGUGUUACACCAAUGAUAUUUAAAUUACAUUCAGAUACCACUGAGGACUAGAAAUAAAAACAAGGUGCACAACUGUAAUCCCAGCACUUUGGGAGGCUAAGGAGGGCAGACUGAGCGCUGGGCGAUAUAGUAACACCCCAUGUCUACAAAAAAUACAAAAAUUAACUAAGCAUGGUGUGCCUGCCUGUGGUCGGAUACUCUGGAAGCCGAGGUGGGAGGAUUGCUUGAGCCCAGGAGGUCGAGGCUGCAGUGAGCCUUGGUCUCACCACUGCACUCCAGUCUGGGCGACAGAGUGAGACCCUGUCUUACACAUGCACACAAAAGAUUGGGAAGGAAGGACUGAUUACAAUGUAAUAUAACAUUAUGCCCUUGUUAUGACAUGUUACUGAUGUCAGUCUGCUAGAAAUGGAGAUAAAGUAACAAGAUGAAGAUGAAGUGAUCUUGAAUAAAGAACGUCAAAGUUUCAAAACCAGAAAGGAAUACUUUGUUUGCUAUGCCUACACAAAGAGAAUCUUUAUUCACAAUUUAUGUUUUUAAAAAUUAGGGCUGGGUGCCUGGCUCAUGCCUGUAAUCCCAGCACUUUGGGAGGCUGAGGCAGGCAGAUCACGAGGUCAAGAGAUUGAGACCAUCCUGGCCAACAUGGUGAAACCCCGUCUCUACUAAAAAUAAAAAAAUUAACUGGAUGUGCUGCUGUGUGCCUGUAGUCCCAUCUACUCAGGAGGCUGAGACAGGAGAAUUGUUUGAACCUGGUAGGGAGGUUGCAGUGAGCCGAGAUCGUGCCACUGUACUCCAGCCUGGCAACAGAGUGAGACUCUGUCUUAAAAAAAAAAAUCAGAGGAAUGCAUUUUAUUCUUUUUCUAACAGUGUUGGUUUUUUCAUUUUCUACUUGAAUAGAAUGCAAAUUUAUGCCAUAACUUCGAAGAUUAUAACCUAUUGAAAAGCCUUUACAACCUCAAGAAUUCCAGCAGGACAGGUUAAGUAACAGCGUGACUGCUUUCAGCCAAAGGUCUAUGCAAAACUAGAGCAGAAAAACACAACUUCUUCAAAAAACGUCUGUUUCAGAGAACAAAAUUAGGGUUUGACAGGAGGAGAAACAAAUACGAUUUCAAGUUUCAUUCUGCGAGGUGCAUUUCAGAACACUAUCUCAUUAAUUGGGCUGAUUUAGCACAAUUGUCUGAAAUUCCCCUGGCUCUGAUUUUAAAGGCAAUCUCUGCACUAGGACAGAAGACCAAAAGUUAACACCUGGGUUGGUGACAGUAAAUGACCAUUUCUGGAUUUUUUCUUGAGUGAUAUUAAUUACAAUACCCCUCACCCAAUGAAACUUCAGCUAGGAUUUUAGAUAAAUAAGGCACAAUUUGAGGUAGAAUGAGAAACGCUAUCCCUAGUUGAAGGACAAUACAAAAAUAGAUUCUUGGGCUAGAGUUGUAAGUGGGAUCUGCCAUACGUAUGUGACAGACAUACCAUAGUCUAGAAUGUAAAAGCUUAUCUAGACUUAGGAAAGGCAUGGAGAGUACAUUUUGUGGUCACUGUUGAUUGUACUCUUUCAUAUAGAUAAAAUGCAUGCUGAUUAGGCUGAACAUUUGAUUAAACAGCAAGUUGCAGAAAUCAGUGUUUAUUUGAAAAGUGAACUGAGCAUUCCCAUGGAUGAAUUUCUGAUAUCUUAAUAUACAGCCUCUGAACUACAGAAUCCCAUCAAUUUUGUAGUUGGGGUGGCAUUAUUAUUAAUAUUAUAAUUUUGAGACAAGGUCUCACUCUGUCACCCAGGCUGGAGUACAGUGGCAUGAUCACGGUUCACUGCAGCCUCUAUCUCUUGGGCUCAAGUGAUUCUCCUGUCUCAGCCUCCCAGGUAGUUGUGACUAUAGGUACACACCAUCAGGCCUUUUAACCUUUUGUGGAGAUGGGGGUGUCACUAUGUCACCGAGCCUAGUCUCGAAUUCCUGGACUCAAGUGAUCUUGCCACCUUGGCCUCCCAAAGUGCUGUGAUUACAGGCAUGAGCCACCAUACCCAGCCCUAAUCAUUUUUGUAUAACGCCAGAUUGUCUGAAUAUUCUAGUGAGUGGCAUCUAUAGUUCUUGGUGCAAUAUUUGAAGCAAAUGUUACAACUCCAUUGAACAUAUGCAAGUCACUGUCCAAAGUCUUACUGAUGAGAGAAACCAGCUUCAUUGGGUUUGAGUCAAG